rnacentral:rRNA from 1 species
GGGGAAUAUUGCACAAUGGGCGAAAGCCUGAUGCAGCGACGCCGCGUGAGGGAUGACGGCCUUCGGGUUGUAAACCUCUUUCAGCAGGGAAGAAGCGAAAGUGACGGUACCUGCAGAAGAAGCACCGGCUAACUACGUGCCAGCAGCCGCGGUAAUACGUAGGGGGCGAGCGUUGUCCGGAUUCAUUGGGCGUAAAGAGCUCGUAGGCGGUUUGGUAAGUCGGGUGUGAAAACCCCAGGCUCAACCUGGGGACGCCACCUGAUACUGCUAUGACUUGAGUCUGGUAGGGGACCACGGAAUUCCUGGUGUAGCGGUGAAAUGCGCAGAUAUCAGGAGGAACACCGGUGGCGAAGGCGGUGGUCUGGGCCAGUACUGACGCUGAGGAGCGAAAGCGUGGGUAGCAAA